UGGGCAUCACUUAGUAGGCAUGUGGAGCAUGGUGGUUGGAUGACUGACUGUACAGCUGUGUGUGACUGAAGGUGCUGCUUUCCUGGGGUAGAACCAAGGGAAAGAGAACUGUUCUGUGGGAAGCUCAUUGCUCUUCAUUCUCUUGAUUCAGGUGCCGAGGGGUGAUUGCCCGUGUGGAUGCUAAGACCUGCUCCUGGCUGCCUGUCUCAUCUAACCUCUUAGGGGACCCUCAUUAUCCUCUUGAUCUAUCACUCUUUAACCCAGGUCAUCUCUCCUCCCUGCUCAGCACAUGUUUGUGCAUAUAUCACAUAUACACACAGCCCAGCGUGCACACGCACACACACACAGACACUCACACACACACACACACACACACACACACAGAGUUAGCAGUCUGAGACCCAUUUCCAGCAAGAGCCCUUACACCCCUUGCUUCCUCUGGCGUCUUACUCCCUCUGUGUCCCUCUGUUUGCUCUGCUUUAGCCCUCUGGUGCUUCUUUUCAUCCCUAACCUUGAGCUUGCCCCUUGGAUGGAAGACACACCUGGCUCCUCCAAGUGGAUCUUCAACUUCUUCUUCUCAGACACCAUUGGGGCUUGCUCUCUGGCUCUGCCCCCUCUGGUUCUGCCAGCCUGGGUGACUACCCCACUGAUUUAGCUCUUGCUCAGGACUGAUGCCCUUAUCAUCUCUCACCUACACACUGGUACUGGUCCUACGCUUCCAGAUUCUCCCCAAUAUCACCCAAACUGCCCUGAAAACCACCUUUCCAAGAUGCAGGCCCAAGGGUGUCACUGCCCCACGCAAAAUGCUGGCCAUGGCUCCCCAUGGCCUAUUGGACAAAGUCCACAUCUUGGAAGGCGCUUACUUGACCCCCCCUCCAUCUGCUUUUCCAGCGGUGCCUCCUGGUACUCUGCACCAAGCCGUCCACCCAAAGACUCUGGAGAUGAGCUCUUGUCCACUGGGCACAUCACCCACUCGUGCCACCAGUCUGUUUCCUUAGGCUGAAAUGAUUCUCCUCCAAAUCUUUGCACAUGAAAAUUCUACCCACUUCAAGGCUACAGCUCCAAAAGGCUGUACACCUCUUCUGGGAAGCCUUCCUGUAUCUCUCCUCCUACAGCCACCACCUCCUUUUUCACUUCUACCCCAAAUCUUAAGUCACUUUUAUAUACUUGGAAAAUGAAUCAAGAGGCCUUAUCCCAUGUCUGGGUGAGGUGCCCUCCCAUGUGCUCCAACAGAGCCUGUAUGUUCCUUUCCCAGAACAUUUAUCACUCUGUGUUGGUUGUCUUUUUAACUGUUGGUCUCCCCCACUGGAUUAUGACACUCUAAGGGCAGGGUCUGGGAGGCCUUGUUCAUGCCAUAUCCCCGGUGCCUAGCAUGGUGCUUGGUUCCUUGCACCAAUUGAAAUGGGCCUCCAGGGCUCUCUACUUCUGCUAUGGUCUAAAUACUUGUGUCCCCCAAAUUCAUAUGUUGAAAGCCUAAUCCCCAGUGUGAUGGUCUUUGGAGAUAGAGCUUUUGGGAGGUAAUUAGGUCAUGAAGGUAAAGCCCACAUGAUGGGAUUAGUGCCCUUAUCAGAAGAGACAGGACAGAGCUUCCUCUCUCUGCUUUCACUCUCUGACACAUGAGAACAAGCAAACCAAGGAAGAAGAUAGCAAACCAGGAAGAGGGCUUUCACCAGAAUCCAACCAUGCUGGCACCCUGAUCUUGGACUAUCAUCCUCCAGAACUGUAAGAAAUAAUUAUCUGUUGUUUAAGCCACUCAGUCUAUGGUAUUGGUUACGGCAACCCAAGUUGACAAAGACAACUUUACCUUUUACAGAGGCCCCUACUGCUUCUGAGCUCCUCUGCUAUUUUCCACUGACCCUGCCACUGGCCCCUCAUACAGGUAUGAGGACCACCCAGAUACAAUCCUGAGAUGAUGGGCCUGGAGUCAGAAGAACUGGGUUGGAGUCUCAGCUCCACCUCUUAGCUGUCUGCCAUUGGGCAAGUCACUGUACCUCUCUGACCAGUUUCCUUAACUGUGAAAAGGGGUAAUAACACCACUCACUGCAUGGGGUUGCUGUGAGGACUGCGAGACAGUGUGGGGCUGUAAGCAUCUGACAGACUGUGCAGUGCUCUCCAAACACUGGGGCUUUCGUUACAGCCCUCACCCACUUACGGCUGUGCUUUGGAAACCUGUUCAGAUCUAGCCAUGUUGACUCCAGCCGCCAUUUGGGCUCAUAAGGAUGUCCUAGAAAGGACUUUUGCCACCUCUCUGCGUUAACAGCUCAAAAUCUCCAGACACUUCUGAUUGCCAGGACCCUUUUGAGCACACGAUGGUUUUCUCCCUCAAAAUCCUUAAAAAGAAAAAAGGCUUGAAUGGCAAUCAGGACUGGCAGAAGUUGGACUGUCAUUGUGAACGGAGGAAGGAGGCUGCAAAAGGAGAUGGGAAGAAAGUGGAUAUGCUGAUAGCCAGGCUGGUGCUCUUCCAGGGAGAAGAAUGUUGGGUCAAAGGUAGAAGCAGAGAGGCCGGUUAAGAAGCUUCCACACCAGUCCAGCCCUACUGUCCAGCUAUGCAGGUCGUCUGCUCUUGAGCAGGUGGCACAACUUCUUGCCUGAUGGCCCUCCCAGCGUGGCU